rnacentral:rRNA from 1 species
ACUCAAAGGAAUUGACGGGGGCCCGCACAAGCGGCGGAGCAUGCGGAUUAAUUCGAUGCAACGCGAAGAACCUUACCAAGGCUUGACAUGUACCGGUAACGCCCAGAGAUGGGCGCCCCUUUUGGUCGGUACACAGGUGGUGCAUGGUUGUCGUCAGCUCGUGUCGUGAGAUGUUGGGUUAAGUCCCGCAACGAGCGCAACCCUCGUUCCAUGUUGCCAGCGCGUUAUGGCGGGGACUCAUGGGAGACUGCCGGGGUCAACUCGGAGGAAGGUGGGGAUGACGUCAAAUCAUCAUGCCCCUUAUGUCUUGGGCUUCACGCAUGCUACAAUGGCCGGUACAAAGGGCUGCGAUACCGCGAGGUGGAGCGAAUCCCAAAAAACCGGUCUCAGUUCGGAUUGGGGUCUGCAACUCGACCCCAUGAAGUCGGAGUCGCUAGUAAUCGCAGAUCAGCAACGCUGCGGUGAAUACGUUCCCGGGCCUUGUACACACCGCCCGU